rnacentral:misc_RNA from 1 species
UUUUAUAACUCGAAUUCCCCUCCUAUUUUCGGAUGAAAAUGAGACUCCUAAAGCCCUUUGGACUCAAAGUGACCUAACCCUAGAGCAACCAAUAUAAAUAGAGAAGAAAACUUCAGAAGAAGGGGCGGUCGCAGGGAGUGCUGCUGAAGGUUGCUGCUGUCAAGUUCUGCAUUAGUACUAAAAGAAGUUUUCCAGCUGAAGCUCCACAAGAUCAAAGUUGCAAACUAUCUUCAGUCCCUUCGCUUCAUCUCCCUAGACAGAUUUCUAUUACUUUAUUUCUUUACAUGAUUUUUUUUAUUGUCUUUACCUUUUAUCAUGAUGUUUGC